AGCCAUCCUCCUGGUGCUCUGUCCCCUGCCCAAAGCUCUUAAUUCCUCUCUUGGGAGUAAGGGAUGGACAAAAUCUGCCAGCAAGGUGAAGAUGGCUGACUCCAGUGGAACAAGAACUCAAGAUGUGCGUAGAAGUCAUAGUUCAGUUUCUUAAAGUGUUAAUUGAAAAAGAAGAAGAACAACAGAAAAAGGCAAAAUUAGAAGGAGGUAAAUAAACCAAG